rnacentral:rRNA from 1 species
UAGACCUCAAAUCAGUCAGGACUACCCGCUGAACUUAAGCAUAUCAAUAAGCGGAGGAAAAGAAACUAACAAGGAUUCCCCUAGUAACGGCGAGUGAAGUGGGAAAAGCUCAACUUUGUAAUCUGGCAGCUUUGCUGUCCGAGUUGUAGUCUCGAGAAAUGUUUUCCGCGCUGGCAUGUGUAUGAGUCUGUUGGAAUACAGCGUCAUAGAGGGUGAGAACCCCGUUCAUGACACAUCUCCCAGUGCUUUGUGAUACAUUUUCGAUGAGUCGAGUUGUUUGGGAAUGCAGCUCAAAAUGGGUGGUAAAUUCCAUCUAAAGCUAAAUAUUGGCGAGAGACCGAUAGCAAACAAGUACCGUGAGGGAAAGAUGAAAAGCACUUUGGAAAGAGAGUUAAAAGUACGUGAAAUUGUUGAAAGGGAAACGCUUGAAGUCAGACGUGCGCAGUGCGAUUCAGCUCUAUUUCGGUAGAGUGUAUUUCGUGCUAUUGCAGGCCAGCAUCGGUUUUGCGAGCCGGAUAAAGGUUAGUGGAAGGUAGCAUCUUCGGAUGUGUUAUAGCCUCUAACUGAAUACGGAUUGCGAGACCGAGGGACGCAGCACGGCGCAAGCCAGAAGAUUCGUCUUCUUCGUGCUUAGGAUGCUGGUGAAAUGGCUUUAAACGACCCGUCUUGAAACACGGACCA